AUGAACGCUAGCUACAGGCUUAACACAUGCAAGUCGCGGGGCAGCAUGGGGGUUGCUUGCAAUCCCCGAUGGCGACCGGCGCACGGGUGAGUAACGCGUAUCCAACCUGCCCUUCACCACGGGAUAACCCGGCGAAAGUCGGACUAAUACCGUAUGUUGUCCAUUGACGGCAUACGAUUGGGACGAAAGGCUUGGCGGUGAGGGAGGGGGAUGCGUCCGAUUAGCCAGACGGCGGGGUAACGGCCCACCGUGGCUACGAUCGGUAGGGGUUCUGAGAGGAAGGUCCCCCACACUGGAACUGAGACACGGUCCAGACUCCUACGGGAGGCAGCAGUGAGGAAUAUUGGUCAAUGGGCGUAAGCCUGAACCAGCCAAGUAGCGUGCAGGAUGACGGCCCUAUGGGUUGUAAACUGCUUUUAUGCGGGGAUAAAGUGGCCCACGUGUGGGCUUUUGCAGGUACCGCAUGAAUAAGGACCGGCUAAUUCCGUG
rnacentral:rRNA from 1 species